GUGCUUGCUUCUACAUCACAUAUACCAAAAUUGAAACCAUACAGAGAAACUUAGUAUGGCCCUUGCGCAAGGAUGAUGUGAAAAUUCGUGAAGCUUUCCACAUUUUU